GCAGGCAGAUCCUCUUCGGAGGUGACGCCUGUGGAACGAGCGGCGGACGGGUGAGUAACACGUGGGCAACCUGCCUGUAAGAUUGGGAUAACCCCGGGAAACCGGGGCUAAUACCGGAUAAUACUUUUCGUUGCAUAACGAGAAGUUGAAAGGCGGCUUUUAGCUGUCACUUACAGAUGGGCCCGCGGCGCAUUAGCUAGUUGGUAAGGUAACGGCUUACCAAGGCGACGAUGCGUAGCCGACCUGAGAGGGUGAUCGGCCACACUGGGACUGAGACACGGCCCAGACUCCUACGGGAGGCAGCAGUAGGGAAUCUUCCGCAAUGGACGAAAGUCUGACGGAGCAACGCCGCGUGAGUGAUGAAGGUUUUCGGAUCGUAAAACUCUGUUGUCAGGGAAGAACAAGUGCCGUUCGAAUAGGGCGGCACCUUGACGGUACCUGACCAGAAAGCCCCGGCUAACUACGUGCCAGCAGCCGCGGUAAUACGUAGGGGGCAAGCGUUGUCCGGAAUUAUUGGGCGUAAAGCGCGCGCAGGCGGUCCUUUAAGUCUGAUGUGAAAGCCCACGGCUUAACCGUGGAGGGCCAUUGGAAACUGGAGGACUUGAGUACAGAAGAGGAGAGUGGAAUUCCACGUGUAGCGGUGAAAUGCGUAGAGAUGUGGAGGAACACCAGUGGCGAAGGCGACUCUCUGGUCUGUAACUGACGCUGAGGUGCGAAAGCGUGGGGAGCGAACAGGAUUAGAUACCCUGGUAGUCCACGCCGUAAACGAUGAGUGCUAGGUGUUAGGGGGUUUCCGCCCCUUAGUGCUGAAGUUAACGCAUUAAGCACUCCGCCCG
rnacentral:rRNA from 1 species